rnacentral:lncRNA from 1 species
GUCUCUCCGAUCCAACCCAUGCUGAUCUCUCUCGCUUCCUUUCCCCGCCUCCUCCGUCUGUCUGUCUGUCUGUCUCUGCAGAAAAUUCAGCUGCAAAUUCACCUCCGCUUCACGCCCUGCGCAGAGAGAGAGAGAGAGAGAGAGAGAGAGAGAGCGGCGACGCAGUUGUGUGCGCGCACAAGCUUUCGCCGUUUCCUUUUCUCUCUCGGACAGAAAGGGGUCUUUUCUUC